rnacentral:tRNA from 1 species
GCCGGGAUGGCGGAAUAGGCAGACGCAGAGGACUUAAAAUCCUCCGAAGUAAAAUUCGUGCCGGUUCAAGUCCGGCUCUCGGCACCA